rnacentral:siRNA from 1 species
AAGCCAUAACUGAAAUGGGCCCGA